UGAACGUCUGGUCGCAGCUCGAUAUAAAAGAAGAAGAAGAAGAAGACCGGACCAUGUACAAGGUUGGAGGGCUCGCGGGUGUCUCCGGCGCUCUGGGCCUGAUUUCUGCCUCCGUGCUGGCGGCCUCCGCCGACGCCGACGACAAACCCAGCACCGCUCUGAGCGUAGAUGAGCUGUCUCUCUACACGACACGGCCGCAGAGCUUCCAGCCCGAGGAGCCCGAGAGAGGACCGGUGGAGGAGAGCGUGGCCAGACUGAGAGAGCUGACGGAGCCCUACACCUCCUGGUGUCAGAAAAUGGCCAGCUCGGUCACACAGACAGCGCAGGGCGUCUAUGGGACGGUGAAGCCCAAGGUCGACAGCACUGUAGAGUUCGGACAGAACAGUUACGCCUACUUGAAGAACCCUCCCCCCGAGUUUUACCCCAGAGCCGGAGUCAUUGGAUUUGCCGGGAUCCUGGGCCUUUUCCUCGGAAGAGGCUCCAGACUGAAGAAGCUGAUCUACCCCACCGCUCUAAUGGCUGUGUCCGUGUCCAUGUAUUAUCCUCAAGAGGCCGUGAGCGUCACAAAGAACACAGGAGACGCUGUAUACGACUGGGCGCUUCAGGCUUAUGUUGCUUUGGAGAAACUCAUCAAAGACAGACCUGCCUCAAAGAAAGAUCAGGCGGAGAGUUCAAGCGGGGAGACCAAAGCUUAGGUACAAAAUGUCAAGCAAACUGGGAUAUACGACAUGAACCCUUUCCCAGCUGUGCUGCACUAAGAUCUGUUCACACAUAAAAUCUGCACGCCGUCGGCUCUCAGAUCGUUUCUCUCACAGCGAUGCACGAUCUCCAUCCUUUGCUCACGUUCACUACCUGCUUUUGCACUAGCCACUUCCUCUUUCAUCUGACGGGAGUUAGUGGCCUGACUGGAAAGUUAUGAACAAACUACUGGGAUUGUAUUAAAAACAUCGUUAAAAUAG